GACGAAGGGGGCUAGCGUUGUUCGGAAUUACUGGGCGUAAAGCGUGUGUAGGCGGUCUCCUAAGUCGAACGUGAAAUCCCCGGGCUCAACCCGGGAACUGCGUCCGAUACUGGUGGGCUUGAAUCCGGGAGAGGGAUGUGGAAUUCCAGGUGUAGCGGUGAAAUGCGUAGAUAUCUGGAGGAACACCGGUGGCGAAGGCGGCAUCCUGGACCGGUAUUGACGCUGAGGCGCGAAAGCUAGGGGAGCAAACGGG
rnacentral:rRNA from 1 species